rnacentral:lncRNA from 1 species
CAGAUUAGAUCCGAUACGUGAAACCGUGAAUUGUUGGCGGAACAACGGCAGGAGUUAACGACCCGUUAAAUUGAGAUUUAACGACUCGCUAAACUUGAAUUAGACGACUUUAACGUUAAACCAAUCUACAUGUACGAAAUUGAAUUUCAUACUGUAGAUCAAUCUCGCGUUAGCUAAUUAGAUUAGAAAAUCUAACCAAUUACACGAUAGAUCAAUAACAGAUUGAUUCGCAUGAGUAAAACGUCUGCGAACCUGAUAUUUGGUGGAGAGAGACCAGCCGGCGACGUGCUGCGAACNNNNNNNNNNNNNNNNNNNNNNNNNNNUGCAGCUGCUGGGAUAGGGGCGGCACAGCUGUAGCGGAGGCGGAAGAGGCGACUGGAGAUGCACGGGAGAGGGAGACGGGGAAAAGAGGCAAGGGUGUAGGGGGUAUUUAUAGGGGGAAGCUAGAGAUAGAUCUUGUUAUCCAUCCCCUAUUAACAAGGAAUAGAUAAGGUUUCAAAGAGAUAAGAUUUAGAAUGCUAACUAAUUGGAAUUGAUUUUUUUGGUGGAGUCAGAGAUGGGGCUUCAUGGCUUGGAGAGGAGGAGGAGAGGAUCGUACAAUCCAGGGAGGAGGAGG